rnacentral:rRNA from 1 species
AUGUGGUCAGCUCAAGCACAAGCGACAUUCGACUUGCUCAAGGAUGCCAUGGUCAACACCCCCGUUCUUGCUCUGCCGGACUUCUCACGCCCCUUCUCCAUCGAGACCUACGCGUGCAACACCGGCGUGGGAGCCGUGCUGGUCCAGGAUGGCCACCUCGUGGCCUAUCUUAGCAAGGCGUUGGGGGUGCGCAAUCAGCGCCUCUCCAUCUAUGAGAAGGAGUUUCUCGAUAGCCUAUGCAGCCUCGGGGACAAACAAUUGGACACAGAGCUGCAGUGUAAAGCCAUGUCAAAGCUGGUUGGACUCCAAUUCUCCUUCAAGUACCGGUGUGGAGUCGAAAAUGGCACGGCGGAUGCGCUCUCACGCGUCGGCCAUCUCCUCGCCCUCGACGCUCUGUCAACAUGCCAACCGCAAUGGUUAGGGGAAGUGGCCAAUUCCUACGAGACAGAUGCAGAUGCCCAAGAUCUUCUCCAACAAUUGGCCCUCUACAGUCCGGACGAGCAGGGGUACGAGCUCCAUCUAGGCGUCAUCCGCUUCCACAACAAGCUUUGGAUGGGCGCCAUUUCGGCCCUGCAAACCAAGCUCAUCACCGCCUUCCAUGCCAGCGUGGUGGGGGGGCACUCGGGCGCGACAACCACAUAUCAGCGCGUCAAGAAACACUUCACCUGGCGUGGCCUCAAGCAAGCCGUGGAUGAGUUCGCGCGGCAGUGCGAGAAGGCAGACAAGCACAGGAUGGAGCGCUCGUUCGCGGACGCGCAGUCUACGGUGGCUAAUCGCCCCUGCCCCAGGCUCGCCUACAAGUUCUUUGGACCGUUCACUGUCCUGCAACGCAUUGGCGCCAUGGCAUACAAGCUCCAACUGUCGGACAACAGUCGCAUCCACCCAGUUUUCCAUGUGUCACAGCUGAAGCCUUUCACACCGGACUACUCGCCGGUCUUCUCCGAGCUGCCUCGUGCGGCAGACCUCACCGCGGCUCCCCUCCAACUCGUGGCCAUCCUGGAUCGACGGAUGGUCAAGAAAGGCAACAGCUCGGUGGUUCAGGUGCGCGUUCAGUGGUCAUCUCUUUCUCCAGCAUCCGCAACAUGGGAGGACUACAACGUGAUGCGCCUUCGCUAUCCUACGACACCUUGA